rnacentral:rRNA from 1 species
ACCCUACAUGUGUAGGAUAGGUGGGAGGCUUUGAAGCGCAGUCGCUAGAUUGCGUGGAGCCGUCCUUGAAAUACCACCCUUGUAGUGUUGAUGUUCUAACGUCGACCCCUUAUCGGGGUUGCGGACAGUGCCUGGUGGGUAGUUUGACUGGGGCGGUCUCCUCCCAAAGCGUAACGGAGGAGCACGAAGGUGGGCUAAUCACGGUUGGACAUCGUGAGGUUAGUGCAAUGGCAUAAGCCCGCUUGACUGCGAGAAUGACAAUUCGAGCAGGUGCGAAAGCAGGUCAUAGUGAUCCGGUGGUUCUGAAUGGAAGGGCCAUCGCUCAACGGAUAAAAGGUACUCCGGGGAUAACAGGCUGAUACCGC